ACCAUAGCGGUCACGCCUCAACGACCCAUUCCCCGCUAAAGCGAAGGCGGGAAAAUUUUCAGUCGACCGCUUCCGCGGUAUCGAUGCAGCUGAAGCGUUAGAAGACCAGUGGCUGACCUAUUUAAAGCCUCAUUUAUGGACUUGACCUAAUAUUUUAUUUUCCCAAAGUUACAGCCGCCACAUGGAGGAUUUUCAGCCCUGGAGACUUGAAUGCUUGGGAAGACCUCUCGGAUCUACAAUUCCCUACAAAGAUGGAAGAUGGAGUCCAAGUGGAUGUUCGAGCACCUGUUCGGCCUUGAGAGUUGUGCAGGUUAUUGGUUGUUUGGAGUUUCCGGGAGAUGUGCGGUGCCUAUCUUGAAGACUUCCAUCAUCUUAUUCCUAGAUGGAGGUUAAGUCUUUUAUUUCCAUUGUACAUUGUCUUCAACUUAGUCUCUUUUGUACUAGUCUAGACCAGGUCAUGGGAAAGGAGUCAGUGUAUUUAAAGGUUGUUGUAAAUACUUCCGCUUUAUUUAUAUAAAUGAGUUCACUUCC